CUCAUAAUUACAGCCUUCAACAAAUGGAGCAAAUAUCUCUCGAUGGGAUUUUCACAUACAGCCGGAUUUCAAACACGCCUGAUUGGGCGUAAAGUGGUUAUAAUGAAAGACACAAGAGAGGCUUGCUCCGGAGGGGAGAAAGUGGAUCGAUGGGGGAUCAAUUGCGCUCUUCGCUCUCAUUUAAGGACCGAUCGAUGGCUGUCCUUGUCGCUUCACCGGGACACUGGUGCUGUCAAUACCCCUUGGCUGCCCACCUCCCCCCAGUAGCCGAGCGGCGUCUUCUGAGACACAACCCGACCAAGCACGCCCGCCCUCCAAGGUUGACGGCCGUGUAACACAACCCUGAUCAAAUUAAAAAACCCUAUGACCUGCGUGAGGCUUCAAGAGGC
ensembl:lncRNA